rnacentral:lncRNA from 1 species
AUAGCCAAGAAAUUUGGAGCUCAGUUUCAAACAAGAAAUCUUAAAAGUUUGAGAAGAAAAUAUGGUAAAUAACUAAGAGAAAUCUCUGGUCAAUACUCAACAAGUCCUUCAGUCCAACAAUAUUCCAUACAUGAAAUCCUGCCAAAAACCAGACUCAGCACCAAACACACGAGAUGAAACAUAAGAUGCAUAAACACAACCCUUGCCUUUGAAGAAAAUUUGCACUAAUGGCAGAGAUGGGUGCUGUAUGAGUGAGCUGUGGCUGCCAUAGCAAGACAUCAUAGAUUGGAUGGCUUAAACAACAGAAAUUUAUUUUUUCACAGUUCUGGAGGCCAGAAAUCCCCAAUAAAGGUACUGACUGAUUAGGUGAGGGCUUUAUUUCUGCUGACAGACAACCACCUUCUUGUUGAGUUUUUAUACGGUCUUUUCUCUGUGGCUCAUAGAGAGAGACAGAGAGAGCUCUGGUGUUUUUUCCUCUUCUUAUUAGGACACCAGUCCUGUAUCACUAAGGCUCCAUCCUGAUGAUUCCACUUAGCCAGUAACUAUGGGAAUUAGGGCUUCAACAUACAAAUUUAGAGAAAUGUGAUUCCGUUCAUAACAGGUGCUUAACUAGAAUUCUGUAUGCACAUUGUUUUAUGAAAAAGCGACAUGAAACCUAAGGAUUUACUGUCUGUUGUAGAAUUUCUCAUAUAAAGAAGAACCUGAGGCAAGUACAGAAAUGUUACCUCCCUACCUUCUCAUUGGAAAGCAGCUCACAGAGAAUACAAUAGUUCUACCCACUAUGCCCGUAUAAUGCAAUGAUAUAUAUCCGUCACUAAAAUCUCCAUGCUUGUCUCACCCAACGUCUCAAACUAUGCUAUAACUAUUGGCGGAUCUCACAUAAUUGAGCAAUCUGAAUGAUGGAAUUGUACACUAGUUGAAUACAGGAGAUACUAUUUUACAUAGCACAGCAAAGCUCUCCCAUAACUCUACAAAUAGGGCUGAAAAAAUCAAAUACGUAAAAUGCAGCGUCAUGUUAUUGCAUGGUUAAUAAAAUUACUGACUCUUCUCAGCUAUCUGAGUGUUUUAGGUUCCUGAGAGCCAAGUCAGUCAUGUCAUUUCCGAAUUUUGGUGAUCAAAGGGUGGAUGAUCACAGUUUUACUCCAUUUCAACUUGAUUAUUAGUUACAUUAAAAAAAGGUUUUUCUAUGUGUGCUGUGAGACUGAUUCUCAUUUAGUAUGGUUUCAUUAAAAAUUAGGAUCCCUUUUUC